CAGUCGCCGCGGUAAAACAGAGGGUGCAAGCGUUAAUCGGAAUUACUGGGCGUAAAGCGCGCGUAGGUGGUUUGUUAAGUUGGAUGUGAAAGCCCCGGGCUCAACCUGGGAACUGCAUCCAAAACUGGCAAGCUAGAGUACGGUAGAGGGUGGUGGAAUUUCCUGUGUAGCGGUGAAAUGCGUAGAUAUAGGAAGGAACACCAGUGGCGAAGGCGACCACCUGGACUGAUACUGACACUGAGGUGCGAAAGCGUGGGGAGCAAACAGGAUUAGAUACCCCGGUAGUCCCUGUCUCUUAUAC
rnacentral:rRNA from 1 species